UUAUGGUGCUGAUGGUGGUGCUGUGAGAAAAAUAUUGGUGUUCAAGUUAAUCAAGUGAUGAAAGGGAGAGAGACACUGGUGGGAGGAAGAGAUAAAAACAAGAGACUGGUAGGAAUAAGCAGUGGUAAAAGAAAAAAACAUGUUGUUAUGACUGUGAACGUGGAAAAUCUGCGUGCGGGAUUUUAGCAUGAGUUCCUAAAGUGUGAGGGUGAAGAAGAUGAUGAGUUGUUUGCAUUAGGAGGCAAGUGAAAGUGAAAAUCGUAGCUAUGUUAUUGCUAUAUCUAUUGUCUGAAAAGUUGCGAUCU